CUCCCCACCCCCAACCCUCCAAGAUGGCGGACAGGCGGCGGCAGCGGGCCUCCCAGGACAGCGAGGACGAGUCCGACUCGGCCGCCUCCGACAGCGUCGACUCACCGGCCGGCGCGGCCCGCUCCGGCUCCCCCGCCUCGCCCCCGAGACCGGCCCGGAGCGCCGCCGGGACCCUGCCGGCCGGGGGCCGGGGCCGCGGGGCCGAGAGCGCGGCCGGGGCCGCCAAGAGCCCGCAGGAGUCCGAGUGUGAAAGUGAAGAUGGCAUCGAAGGAGAUGCUGUUCUCUCGGAUUAUGAAAGUGCAGAAGACUCCGAGGCUGAGGAAGGGGAGUACAGUGAGGAGGAAAGCUCAAAGGUGGAGCUGAAGCAGGAGAGUAACAAUGCCAGUGAAUCCACAGGAAAAGCAGAGAAAGGGGAAGAGAAACCUGACCCGAAAGGUGCUGUGACUGGCGAGAGACAAAGCGGGGAUGGGCAGGAGAGCACUGAACCAGCUGAGAAUAAAGUUGGGAAAAAGGUCCCCAAGCACUUGGAUGAUGAUGAGGAUCGGAAGAACCCUGCUUACAUACCCCGCAAAGGGCUCUUCUUUGAACAUGAUCUCCGAGGACAGGCCCAGGAGGAGGAAGUCAGGCCGAAGGGUCGCCAGCGAAAGCUAUGGAAAGACGAGGGCCGCUGGGAACAUGACAAAUUCCGGGAAGAUGAGCAAGCCCCCAAAAGCAGGCAGGAGCUGAUUGCACUCUACGGCUAUGACAUCAGGUCGGCUCACAAUCCCGACGACAUCAAGCCGAGGAGGAUGCGCAAACCACGGUUUGGGAGCCCUCCGCAGCGAGAGCCAAACUGGGCCAACGAGAGGCAAAACAAGCCUCCAAGACACCAGGACUCUGAUAGUGCUCCGCUGCCGACACGAACCUUCAUCAGCCGGCACUCCGCAGGUAUGGGUAGGAUGCCCCCAGCCAGAAACGUUCCGAGGGUGGGUGGCUACAAAGAGAACCGUCCAAGCUACAGAGCUGUGGAAGCAAACAGCCAGCACCUCUCUCGAACAGGUGAGCAGGCUAAACAUGAGAGCAGUUACCGGGCGAGGCGUGUUGAACAAGCCCCGGAGAGAGACCCCUCUCCUGAAGCAGAGAGUGUGCAUGUUCACAGCAGUCCUGCCAAGAAGGAAGAGAUCAUUUUGGAAAGCCAGACCCCAAGUACAGACUCUGUACAGCCGCCACCAGAUAGACCCAUCGAAAAGAAAUCCUAUUCCCGGGCCAGGAGGACCAGGAAUAAAGCUGGCGAUGCAGGAAAGCUGGCAGAUGAAGUUCCGCCUCCAGAGGGAUUGACACCUGUGCCUCCGAAACCAGUGCAGGUCGUGACGCCCCCUCCGCCUGCGAAGGCCGGUAGUUGGGAGACACCAGUAGAAUCCAGCAUGGAUGGACUCGAGCAAGACAUGACUCAGUUGAAUCUAACCGAGCAGUCCUGGACCCAAGGACAGCCUCCGUUCAUACCGCCUCGGGAACUUCGGGGUAUUCCUAAUCAUAUGCACAUGGGAGCUGGACCACCACCUCCGUUUAACAGGAUGGAGGAAAUGGGAGUACAGGGGGGCCGUGCAAAACGUUACUCAUCCCAGCGUCAGCGGCCACCAGUUCCAGAGCCUGCUCCCCCCAUGCACAUCAGCAUCAUGGAAGGGCACUAUUAUGAUCCAUUGCAAUUCCAGGGACCAAUCUACACACACAGCGAGAAUCCUGCCCCGUUGCCACCCCAGGGUAUGAUUGUACAGCCAGAAAUGCACCUCCCACAUCCAGGUUUACAUCCACACCAGACACCAGCACCUUUGGCUAACCCUGGCUUAUAUCCUCCACCAGUCUCCAUGCCUCCUGGGCAACCGCCCCCACAGCAGCUGCUCGCACCCACCUAUUUCUCCCCUCCCGGAGUCAUGAAUUUUGGGAAUCCCAGUUACCCCUAUCCCCCAGGAGCACUCCCACCACCACCACCUCCCCAUCUGUAUCCCAGCUCACAGAUGCAGGCCCAGGCCCAGGUGUAUGGAGGGGUCACCUACUACAACACUGUCCAGCAGCAAGUACAGCCGAAACCUUCUCCUCCACGAAGAACAUCCCAGCCCGUGACUAUCAAGCCGCCGCCUCCUGAGGACAGCACAAGUGAAAAAUCGAAGGAAAGGAGCAAUACGUAGGGACACCCACCUCAGAAGUUCCAGCCCCGGAAUCGGCACCGCCAGCAAGCAGGAAGCUCUGACUCAAGAGACGUCCCCUUCUCCGUGCUUAGCACCUGUGGUCCAAAGCUUUCCUGGCACUGACGCUUGCGAGCCAGCUGUGGCGAGGGGACGUGACUUGCCCAGGAGUCCUGGCCACUCGACCCUGCUGCUCACGGGGCUGGGAUCUUGCUUCGGCUUGUGGGGCCGACAGCUGGUAAACCAGGUGAAACUGCCCCUUCGCUGUAGGCAGCUGGGUGUGAGUGGGCCGAGCUGCUUACUGGCUGUGACCUCCCGGCUGGGGCCAGUCCCACGCAGCAGAGCCCUGCUGCGUGCACAAGUGGCUCCGAGCUCGAUACUGCAGAGGGCGAUGUGGGAAACCCCCUGGAGCACGGCUCUUCGAGGAUUCAGCCAGCAGCUUCCCCUGGGGACUGCUGCGCCUCCCUGAGUGAAACUGGUUUUGCAGGGCACCUCUGUGAGGGGCAUCAGGGUAGCAGCCAGGGGCCUUGGGUGAGGCUGUACAGGCAGACCCUUCCCAAGAGAGCUUACAGCCUAAAUACAUGAGGGGCAAGAGGGGAAACUGAGGCAGAGAGGGGCAAAGCUGGAAUUGGACUGGGUGGGGAGUGGGGUUUGGUGGACAGAGCAGGACUCAACUCUCCUGGGUUCUGUCUUCCCAGCUUUGGGAGAGGGGUAUGAGGAGGGGCUUAGAAAGUGAAGCCUCCUGGUCUGUGAUCUGUUUCUGCCAUGGACUUGCUGUGUGACUGUAUGGUGCCCCCUGCCUCAGUUUCCCCAUCUCUUCAGCGAAUUGUUGAUAGAUUGUCAGUGCUCUGCAGCAGGGCCAUCUUUCUGUCCUGGAUUUCUACAGCACCUGGUGUGGGGCUCAUGACUGGGGCUCCUAGGUGCUAUCAUAACAGACCUAAUAAAUAAUGUACACUGCCUGCCAUGGCGGGGGGUCCUGGGCUGUGACUGGGGAUCCUAGCUCCGGCUUGAAGCCCGUGGAGGAGCUGUAUUUUUUCCACACAGGCUGAUCUUGUUCUCUGAAACGGGAGGGUAAAAUUCCCUUUUCACUCCCAGCACUGCGGCGUGAAAACCAGUUAAAAUUCUCGCUCAAACAGAACAUUUCCCUGUCUUGAAUGCUUGUAAUUUUCCCUCCCCCGCACGGUCUGUUGUGAACGGUGCCACGGAAGCUUCACACUCCGCUCCCCGCCGGCUGCUUUUCAUUGCUUGAGAAAAUUGAACGUUUCAUGCCCGGUUUGGGGGGCAGAUCCAGUUCCUGGCUCGGUAGGAGAGUUAGCAGCAGCCAAUAAAUCCAUUUGCAAAAGCCCCCAUCCCAGCAAUGCUUUGUCAGGGCAGGUGUGUUUCCUGUGAGAGAGGGGUAUGGGGGGUGGGGCGGGGCUCCUGGCUUUGGGUCCCAGCUCUGUGCCCAUAUCCCCUCCCUCUGUCUUGGCUGCUCAGGUGGACAAGGACUCUGUCCCCUCGCGAGACGCCCGCGCAGUGGGGCUGGAAUAUCGGGUGCGCUCGUUCCCUGGGACAGUUAUGGGAGCUGAACAGGGUGGGUCUCUGCCCUGCUCCUAGUGGGCAGGUGCAUCCAUCAAAGUCCUGGGCCUAGAGCUCCUGGGUCCUCCCCAGCAGCUGCUGGCACCAGCCUGUGCCCUCUGUGCCCACUCUCUGUCCCACCAGGUGCUUGGGGCCCAGCCUGCACCCUCCCCUCUGAACACGAAGCCGGGCACUGUCUCAGCUGCACCCGGCUGGCAGCUCUUCUCCAACUCCCCGGCACCAUCUGCGUGGCAGGCAGCUCUCGACUCCCAUCUGCGGCUCAGCUGCCCCAGCUCCUGGAGUCAAGUGGGUCUGUGCCGAUCUCAGCCUUCCUUCUGACAGAGCCAGUAAGUCCCCAGCCCUCCUGGCUGUGGAAAAAGCUGCACAUGGGGACCCCAGAGCACCCUAAAAGCUCAACAAGCAGAAGGCAAAUAAAGAGCCCCCCAAAGCUGUUACUUUUA